ACUUGUCUUCUUCAUUUGGCACUUCUGUGUGCAGAUAAUUAAGUAACUACACUGAAUCUCAGUUUGGUAACUCACAUACCAUGGAGAUAUCACAAAGUUGGAGCAAAAUUAGUCCUCAGCUCCAUAGCUCACACUCCUUGGAGAUUUCAUUAGGAGAAAGAGGGCAUCUACUAGCAGUGGAAAUGAAUGAUAUUAAAGGUGCAACAGAAACUAAGAUUGAGGUUAGGGAACUGAACAAGGUAUCAGAUAAGGGUGAUUCUAUACUGAAGAGUGUUAGAGUUGACAUAACAAGAGGAGUAAUCAUGGGGAUUAUUGGCCCCAGUGGUAGCGGAAAAUCAACAAUUUUACGAGCGCUAAAUCGAUUAUGGGAACCCCUAAGGGCACUGUUUUUCUUGAUGGUACUGAUAUUUGUGAUCUGGAUGUGCUCUGUCUUCGUCGUAAGGUUGGCAUGUUGUUCCAGCUUCCAGUUCUCUUUGAAGGUACAGUGGCAGAUAAUAUACGUUACGGGCCAAAACUCAAGGGAAAGAAACUAAGUGAUAAUGAGGUUUACAAGUUGCUGACUUUGGCUGAUCUAGACUCAUCUUUCUUCAACAAGUCAGGUGGGGAACUAUCUGUUGGCCAAGCACAGAGAGUUGCACUUGCCAGAACCUUAGCUAAUGAACCAGAGGUUCUGCUAUUGGAUGAGCCAACUAGUGCAUUAGAUCCAAUAUCAACACAGAAUAUCGAGGACGUUCUAGUAAAGCUCAAGAAGGAUCAGAAGAUGACAAUUGUGAUAGUUUCUCAUAGCAUCAAGCAAAUACAGAGAAUAGCUGAUAUAGUGUGCCUGCUGGUUGAUGGGGAGAUUGUGGAAAUUAUAAAGCCUGAUCAACUCUCUGAAGCUAAGCAUCCCAUGGCACUAAGAUUUCUUCAACUCAGCUCCUAGUGUAUUUUAGGCGAAAAGUAGAACCAGGGACAAGGAAAGUACAUCAAGGCACGAACUAGCGGAGAAGCAUGAUAAUGGUUAGCAAGAGAGAUUCAAGUCACCAAAAUAUGGAAGAAUCUCAACCCAUUCGAGUGAGCCAAUCUUAACUGAGGUUAAUUUAGCUACUGAAACUACGUGUAGAAAAAUACACUUUAAUAAAAAAGGUAUUUUACCUCCCACGACAAUCUUUCCGAUGGCGCAACCAAGAAAAACGGGGCAAAUUCUUGUAAAGGUUUUAAAUAGAAAUAUGAAUUAAUAUCACCAA
rnacentral:lncRNA from 1 species